UACAGAGGGGGCAAGCGUUGUUCGGAAUUACUGGGCGUAAAGGGCGCGUAGGCGGCCUUCUAAGUCGAACGUGAAAUCCCCGGGCUCAACCCGGGAACUGCGUCCGAUACUGGAAGGCUUGAAUCCGGAGAGGGAUGCGGAAUUCCAGGUGUAGCGGUGAAAUGCGUAGAUAUCUGGAGGAACACCGGUGGCGAAGGCGGCAUCCUGGACCGGCAUUGACGCUGAGGCGCGAAAGCCAGGGAGCAACGGGAGUUAAGAUGACCCUGGAGU
rnacentral:rRNA from 1 species